rnacentral:rRNA from 1 species
CCUACGGGAGGCAGCAGUGAGGAAUAUUGGUCAAUGGGCGAGAGCCUGAACCAGCCAAGUCGCGUGAAGGAUGACGGCCCUCCGGGUUGUAAACUUCUUUUGUCAGGGAGCAAUUUAGUCCACGUGUGGUCUUAGCUAUAGUACCUGCAGACAAAGCAUCGGCUAACUCCGUGCCAGCAGCCGCGGUAAUACGGAGGAUGCGAGCGUUUUCCGGCUUUAUUGGGUUUAAAGGGUGCGUAGGCGGACUAUCAAGUCAGCGGUAAAAAUUCGGGGCUCAACCCCGUCGUGCCGUUGAAACUGAUGGUCUUGAGUGGGAGAGAAGUAGGCGGAAUGCGUGGUGUAGCGGUGAAAUGCAUAGAUAUCACGAAGAACUCCGAUUGCGAAGGCAGCAUACCGGAGCCCAACUGACGCUGAAGCACGAAAGCGUGGGUAUCGAACAGGAUUAGAUACCCGAGUAGUC